rnacentral:rRNA from 1 species
AUGGCGCUCGUCCCACACGGCGGCGGCGCGGGCGGAUCAGCGACGAUGGCGAUGCCGAUGCUGACCGCGGACAACUACACGGUCUGGGCCAUCAAGGCGCAGGCGAUCCUCGACAUCCACACCGUAUGGGAGGCGGUGGCACCGGGCGACGCGGCGGUGAACGCGCGGAAGGACAAGAUAGCGCGCGCGUUGCUUCUUGGGGCGUUGCCGGAGGAUGUGCUGCUGCAGGUGUCGACGAAGAUCACCGCCAGGGAGGUAUGGGACUCCCUGAAGGUGAGGUUCGUCGGCGCCGAUCGGGUCCGCGCGGCGAGGCUGGCGACACUGCGCGGUGAAUUUGACCGCCUGAAGAUGGCGGACGGCGAGGAGCUCGACGUGUACGGCGGGAGGCUCGCGGCGAUGACGUCGAGGUAUGCCAACCUCGGGGAGACGCUGGGCGACGCGGCGCUCGUCAAGAAGCUGCUGGAUAUGGUGCCGGAUCGGCCGGCUCUUCCCCGUCGUCGCCGGCAUCGAGCAGUUCCACGACGUGACGACAAUGGCGUUCGAUGA